rnacentral:misc_RNA from 1 species
GAAAUGCGAUAAGUAAUGUGAAUUGCAGAAUUCAGUGAAUCAUCGAAUCUUUGAACGCACAUUGCGCCCACCAGUACUCUGGUGGGCAUGCCUGUCCGAGCGUCAUUUCAACCCUCAGGGCCCGUUCGCGGGACCUGGUGUUGGGGAUCGGCCCCACCGGCCGGCCCCGAAAUACAGUGGCGGCACACCCGCGACCUCCUCUGCGUAGUAGCAAUGCCUCGCAGCUGGAUAGCGGUUGCGCCUCGCCGUAAAACCCCCCACUUCUCAAAGGUUGACCUCGGAUCAGGUAGGAAUACCCGCUGAACUUAA